GAGGGGGUAGAAACAGGGACAGAGAAAGAGGAGGGAUAGCAACAGAAAGAGAGUGUGAGAGAAUGAGAGCUGGCGGCAUCAUUGAUGUAAUCCAGACCAGAGCUGCGGAGCCACAUUAAAUGAGUUGAUUGAGCAAUGACAACCCACCAGACUCAGAACUACCUGGCAACAGAACUCCUCUCAUCUUCGACGGAUGACUCACACUAUGUCAUCAACACUAUUCACCAAAUGGAACGGUGUGUGUGUUCUGGACUAACUGCAAUGGCACCAAAUGGAACAUCCAAACCUGAUGAGCUGAACACUAUUACAUUAAGCUGGACUCUGCUAGGGGGAUCCAGAGCAGGUUUUCUGCUAUCAUCGUCAUUAUUAUGAUUUUGCCAGGAUUUCAGAGAUCCAUUGCUUCAUAUCAUUGCUAUGACAUCAUUGCAUGAUACCUCGCAAUUUCUUCUGACUGAGCAAUUAUGACAGAAGGAUCCAUUUGAAUAUCCUUUGAUAGCAUGAGUCAUGGUCGAAAUCCUUUGGAUGUAAAUAUUCCUACACUCGUUAUGUUCUUCCGAAUCAGUCAGUUUAAGAAUCAUCAGAUGAUCCAGGUUGGAUGUGAUUGGUAAAAGAUGAGUGAACCACAUUGUAACACCUGUAGCAGUUGUGUCUUGUGUCCCUGACAUGUAAAUCCUCUAAAUCAUCAACAGAGGUCAGUGUUUCUACCUAGAAUAAAGCAGAUUUAAAAAACUGCA